CAGUAGCCGCGGGAAUACGGAGGGAGCUAGCGUUGUUCGGAAUUACUGGGCGUAAAGCGCACGUAGGCGGCUAUUCAAGUCAGGCGUGAAAUUCCCGGGCUCAACCUGGGGGCUGCGUUUGAUACUUGGUUGCUUGAGUGGGGAAGAGGGUCGUGGAAUUCCCAGUGUAGAGGUGAAAUUCGUAGAUAUUGGGAAGAACACCGGUGGCGAAGGCGGCGACCUGGUCCUUUACUGACGCUGAGGCGCGAAAGCGUGGGGAGCAAACAGGAUUAGAUACCCCGGUAGUCCCUGUCUCUUAUAC
rnacentral:rRNA from 1 species